GACGAACGCUGGCGGCGUGCUUAACACAUGCAAGUCGAACGAAGUGGCGAACGGGUGAGUAAUACGCGGGUAACCUGCCCUCCUUUUUGGGAUCAGCCUUGGAAACGGGGUCUAAUAUCGAAUAAAGGGGGUUUGGCUUGCGGCCUAUCAGCUUGUUGGUGGGGUGAUGGCCUACCAAGGCGGUGGCGGGUAGCCGUGCUGAGAGGGUGAAUGGCCACAUUGGGACGGGGAUGCGGGCCAGAGUCCUACGGGAGGCAGCAGUGGGGGAGAUUGCACAAUGGGCGAAAGCCGGAUGCAGCGGCGCCGUGUGGGGGAUGAAGGCUUUCGGGUUGUAGACCUCUUUCGCUAUCGAGCGGGUAGGUGGAGAAGAGGCGCCGGCUAACUACGUGCCAGCAGGCGCGGUAAUUC
rnacentral:rRNA from 1 species